CAGUAGCCGCGGGAAUACGAAGGGUGCAAGCGUUAAUCGGAAUUACUGGGCGUAAAGCGUGCGCAGGCGGUUUGUUAAGACAGAUGUGAAAUCCCCGGGCUCAACCUGGGAAUUGCAUUUGUGACUGGCAAGCUAGAGUGUGGCAGAGGGGGGUGGAAUUCCGCGUGUAGCAGUGAAAUGCGUAGAUAUGCGGAGGAACACCGAUGGCGAAGGCAGCCCCCUGGGCCAACACUGACGCUCAUGCACGAAAGCGUGGGAAGCAAACAGGAUUAGAUACCCGGGUAGUCCCUGUCUCUUAUAC
rnacentral:rRNA from 1 species